UUCACUCCCAGUUCUUUCUUCAUCUAACACAUCCCUUAUACGGUAAAGGAUACGAGGAAAGAAAAGCGAUAGUGACAGCUCUAUCAUGGCCUUCUCAAGUCAAAAUUAAAAAAAAUUAAAAGUAACAUAAUUUAAAGAUAUGAAAAGAUAUGAAAGAAUGUAGAACGGAAGAUGAAAAGGAUCUCGAGGGCAAGUAGACACGAAGAUUCACAAGGAACCAAAGUCAAGGACCAACUGUAUUGAAGAAUUCUACAAUAGUUGCAAAGGUGCUUUCUCUGCUGAACGCAACCAUUACAUCCUUGUUUGCCAAUGUUAAACAAGA